CCUACGGGAGGCAGCAGUGGGGAAUAUUGCACAAUGGGGGAAACCCUGAUGCAGCGACGCCGCGUGAAGGAAGACUGAUUUCGGUAUUGAAACUUCUAUCAGUAGGGAAGUAAAUUACGGUACGUGUCUAAGUAUCCCCGUCUAACUACGUGCCAGCAGCCGCGGUAACACGUAGGGGGCAAGCGUUAUCCGGAUUUACUGGGUGUAAAGGGAGCGUAGUUGGUUUAGCAAGUCAGAAGUGAAAGUGCGGGGCUCAACUGCGGGACUGCAUUUGAAACUGUUGAACUAGAUUGCAGGAGAGGUAAGUGGAAUUCGUAGUGUAGCGGUGAAAUGCGUAGAUAUUAGGAGGAACACCAGUGGCGAAGGCAGCUUACUGAACUGUAAAUGACGCUGAGGCUCGAAAGCGUGGGGAGCAAACAGGAUUAGAUACCCCAGUAGUC
rnacentral:rRNA from 1 species